ensembl:rRNA 5S_rRNA 5S ribosomal RNA
GUCUACGGCCAUACCACCCUGAACGUGCCCGAUCUCGUCUGAUCUCGGAAGCUGAGCAGGGUCGGGCCUGGUUAGUACUUGGAUGGGAGACCGCCUGGGAAUACCAGGUGCUGUAGGCU